rnacentral:rRNA from 1 species
UGAACGCUGGCGGUAUGCUUUACACAUGCAAGUCGAACGGCAGCACGGGGCAACCUGGUGGCGAGUGGCGAACGGGUGAGUAACGCGUGGGCGACCUACCUUCGAGUGGGGGAUAACAUUCCGAAAGGAGUGCUAAUACCGCAUAACAUCCCGUGUUUAGAUACAUGGUGAUCAAAGCCGGGCCGUAAGGCCUGGCGCUUAGAGAGGGGCCCGCGUCCGAUUAGCUAGUUGGUGGGGUAACGGCUCACCAAGGCUCCGAUCGGUAUCCGGCCUGAGAGGGCGGACGGACACACUGGAACUGAGACACGGUCCAGACUCCUACGGGAGGCAGCAGUGGGGAAUUGUUCGCAAUGGGCGCAAGCCUGACGACGCAACGCCGCGUGGAGGAUGAAGACCUUCGGGUCGUAAACUCCUUUCGACCGAGAAGAAUGGCUCUCGACCUAAUACGUCGAGAGCAUGACGGUACCGAGGGAAGAAGCCCCGGCUAACUCCGUGCCAGCAGCCGCGGUAAUACGGGGGGGGCAAGCGUUGUUCGGAAUUACUGGGCGUAAAGGGUUCGUAGGUGGCCAACUAAGUCAGACGUGAAAUCCCUCAGCUUAACUGAGGAACUGCGUCUGAAACUGGAUGGCUUGAGUGCAGGAGAGGAACGCGGAAUUCCAGGUGUAGCGGUGAAAUGCGUAGAUAUCUGGAGGAACACCGGUGGCGAAGGCGGCGUUCUGGACUGCAACUGACACUGAGGAACGAAAGCCAGGGGAGCAAACGGGAUUAGAUACCCCGGUAGUCCUGGCCCUAAACGAUGAAUGCUUGGUGUAACGGGUAUCGAUCCCUGUUGUGCCGAAGCUAACGCAUAAGCAUCCCGC